rnacentral:rRNA from 1 species
GGAUAAGUUACUAAGGGCGCACGGCGGAUGCCUUGGCUCUCAGAGGCUAGGAAGGACGUGUACAGCUGCGAUAAGCUGCGUAGAGGUGCCUAAAAACCUUUGACGCGCAGAUUUCCGAAUGGGGCAACCCAUCCUUUUUAAAGGAUUUAGAGCAAACCCGCUGAACUGAAACAUCUAAGUAAGCGGAGGAAGAGAAAAUAAAAAUGAUUCCCCAAGUAGUGGCGAGCGAACGGGGAAGAGCCCAAACCAAUGAUGUUACGGCAUCAUUGGGGUUAUAGGACUACAAUGUGGAUAUACAAAUGAAAUGGAAGCAGUUGGGAAGCUGCAUCAUAGAGGGUGAGAAUCCCGUACAUGUAAGUUUUUAUAUUCUAGUAGUAUCCUGAGUAGCACGGGGUCGGUGAAGCCUUGUGUGAAUUUGCCAGCACCAUCUGGUA